rnacentral:rRNA from 1 species
GGACCCGCACAAGUAGUGGAGCAUGUGGUUUAAUUCGAAGAUACGCGCAGAACCUUACCAACACUUGACAUGUUCGUCGCGACUUUAAGAGAUUAAAGUUUUCGGUUCGGCCGGACGAAACACAGGUGCUGCAUGGCUGUCGUCAGCUCGUGUCGUGAGAUGUUGGGUUAAGUCCCGCAACGAGCGCAACCCUCACUUUUAGUUGCCAUCAUUUAGUUGGGCACUCUGAAAGAACUGCCAGUGAUAAGCUGGAGGAAGGUGGGGAUGACGUCAAGUCCUCAUGGCCCUUACGUGUUGGGCUACACACGUGCUACAAUGGCAUUUACAAUAGGAAGCAAGAUGGUAACAUUGAGCAAAUCCUAAAAAGAUGCCUCAGUUCGGAUUGCACUCUGCAACUCGAGUGCAUGAAGCUGGAAUUACUAGUAAUCG